rfam:Columba livia unplaced genomic scaffold scaffold32, whole genome shotgun sequence.
CCGGCCCCAGGUUCAAGUAAUCCAGGAUAGGCUGUGAUCUGGGCAGUCAGCCUGUUCUUGGUUACUUGGCUCUGGAGCUGG